GUCGUUUCUAAGGGCUUGCUUUCCGACUGUCUAGGCAAACGACAAGCUCAAAUGGUUAUCUGUUGACUGUUUACAACAGUAUGAAAUUUGCUAAAAUGCUAUACUGUGCUACUGUUUUGAUAUUCGGAUGUAUUAUGUUGUCGUCUGCUUGCAGACUUUCCCAACAUACUAUCCUGGGAGUCGAGAAAAAGUUGAAAGAAGAAAUUAACACUCAAGAAAAGAUGCUAAAAAUAAAUAUAGGAAAGAUACUUAGAAAAAAUAUAGGAAAGAUACUUAUAAAAAAUAUAGGCAAGAUACUUAUAAAAAAAGAACCGCUUCCACGUAAAACGUGUACAAAAGAAGUGUCAUUCAGGAAACAGACAGGUCAAAGUUCAACCUAUUCAUCGCGCUACCCUUCACGUUAUGGUGUUGACCACAGUCACUUUACAAUGUUUCAUACGAAAUUUGAACAGGAUCCAUAUUGGUGGGUAUUCCUCGGAAGCCCCUACUCAGUUCGUCGUGUCGAAAUGUGGAAUACGAGAAGAUUAGGUAGUAGAUUGCGUGAAAUGAAUAUUAUGGUUGGUCACACUUUAAAAAACAUGCGGAUAUGCAGGAGAUACAAAGGCCCGGCUAGUGAUGACCAGCACUUAAUUAUGAAAUGCUACUACGCUAUAACAGGACGGUUUGUCAAGAUUGCCUUAAAAGUCAAAGGAUACUUCCAUCUAAAUGAAGUUAAGGUGUAUGCGAAAUGUUGAAUCAACUUAUUAAAGAUUAAAUCUGC